rnacentral:rRNA from 1 species
UAGGGAAUAUUGCGCAAUGGGGGAAACCCUGACGCAGCGACGCCGCGUGAGUGAUGAAGGCCUUCGGGUCGUAAAGCUCUGUCGCAUGGGAAUAAGAUCUGAAUGUACCAUGCAAGAAAGGAUCGGCUAACUUCGUGCCAGCAGCCGCGGUAAGACGAGGGAUCCUAGCGUUGUUCGGAAUCAUUGGGCGUAAAGCGGGUGUAGGUGGCUUUGUAAGUCAGGUGUGAAAUCCCAGGGCUUAACCCUGGAAGUGCAUUUGAUACUGCAUAGCUUGAGUGUGGGAGAGAUUAGUAGAAUUCCUGGUGUAGUGGUGAAAUACGUAGAUAUCAGGAGGAAUACCGGAGGCGAAGGCGGCUAAUUGGCCCAACACUGACACUGAUGCCCGAAAGCGUGGGGAUCAAACAGG